AUCUGAUAUCCUGAACCCAAGCAUCCGGCGCGGGAGCGGAAGAACGAGGCGAUAGAGAAAGUGGUGUAUGCAUGUAUGGAGGUGAGCUUCAUGUCCACCUCUCGCCUCAGUUUACAAGCUUUAUCCCCACCUACUCCGACGCCCUGCAAUUCUCUCUCAAGAAUUUUUAGAAACCCUAGACUCGGUUGUUGCCCCAUAAAACCCAAAACCCUUCAGAAAACCCUUUACAUUUCCACCCAACCCUCAUCCAUCCGUGCCUCUGCAACUCCUCAGCUGCUUCCUCCUCAAACUUCCUUCUGCGACCACUGGUUAGUUGUUGUCGAGAAACCACAAAAUGGGGCUCUCUCUAAAGCACAAGUCAUCGAUUACUAUGUCGAAACCCUAGCCGAGGUUCUGGGGAGCAAGAAAGAAGCUCAGAUGUGUAUUUAUGAUGCUUCAUGGCAAACCCAUUUCGGGUUCUGUUGUGUUAUCGAUGAGGAGAGCUCUACCAAACUCUCUAGUCUGCCUGAGGUUUUGUCUGUUCGGCCCGAUUCUGACAUUGAAUCCCCCAACAAAGACUAUAGUACUGACAAGGGAAGUAAACAAGGGGAUUAUAGUUUUAAUAUUUUUAGUAAUCUAUCCAACUUGAACAAUGGCAAUCAAGUGGCAAUAUCAGAGGCCUCCCCUCCUCAGGUUUCAAAAUACUGGCUUGUUCGUAUGGAGAAACCCCGUGUUAUGGUCAUUACCAAACCGCAAAUGGUGGAUUAUUAUGCUCAAACAUUGACCAAGGUUUUGGGAAAUGAAAAGGACGCACAGAUGUGUAUAUACCAUGUUUCUUGGCAAACAAAUUUUGGGUUUUGUUGUGAACUUGACCAUGAUGAUGCAAAGGAACUGGCUGGUGUUCCAGGAGUUUUGUCGGUUCAGCCAGAUACAAAUUUUGAAUCAGAAGUCAAGGAUUAUGGAGGUGUCAGUAAUCCGUUGAAGUCCACCGAAUCAACUGAUUCAUCAAAUGAUCCACCCAUUAGAACAAAAAGGCUUUUUGUUACUGGACUUUCCUUUUACACAUCCGAGAAGACUCUGCGUGCAGAAUUUGAAGGGUUUGGCAAGCUUGUUGAUGUCAAAAUUAUCAUGGACAAGAUAUCCAAAAGGUCCAAGGGCUAUGGAUUUAUCGAGUACACAACAGAGGAAGCAGCGAGUGCGGCCUUGAAGGAGAUGAAUGGCAAGAUCAUCAAUGGGUGGAUGAUUGUCGUUGAUGUUGCAAAGACAAAUCCGCCAAGAUACAAUCGGGACCGUCCAAGAACGAUGACCUAAUUAUUCAAAAAAUAGAUUCACGGAAGAUUAGGCGGAAUUGACAGCAGAGGCAUCAAGGUUUCUGCAUACUUCAAGAACGUCAGCCUUCUGAUAAUUCAGUAGAAAUAGUAGUGAAUGUUCGAAGAUGUCAGCUCUUCCUGUAAGAGAUGGGUUACUAUUAAGUUGAUGGGAGAAUGUGAAAUUGCCUGGUCCGAGCUUUUGUAUAUUUUUUGUGAGCUCCCCCGCUGCAUAUUCGAAGGGGAACUCCAAAUAUUUGCAGUAUUUUGAGUUCAAAAGACUAGCCAAUUUUUGGGUUUAAUAUAUCAUGAGUAAUUGGUGGUGUGGACCAAAAUUUA